CAGGACGAACGCUGGCGGCGUGCCUAACACAUGCAAGUCGAGCGAGGAGAUCCUCGGGAUGAUCCUAGCGGCGGACGGGUGAGUAACACGUGGGCAACCUGCCUCAUAGAGAGGAAUAGCCUUCCGAAAGGGAGAUUAAUACCUCACAACAUUGCAGUUUCGCAUGGAACAGCAAUUAAAGGAGCAAUCCGCUAUGAGAUGGGCCCGCGGCGCAUUAGCUAGUUGGUGAGGUAACGGCUCACCAAGGCGACGAUGCGUAGCCGACCUGAGAGGGUGAUCGGCCACAUUGGGACUGAGACACGGCCCAGACUCCUACGGGAGGCAGCAGUGGGGAAUAUUGCACAAUGGGGGAAACCCUGAUGCAAGCAACGCCGCGUGAGUGAUGACGGCCUUCGGGUUGUAAAGCUCUGUCUUCAGGGACGAUAAUGACGGUACCUGAGGAGGAAGCCACGGCUAACUACGUGCCAGCAGCCGC
rnacentral:rRNA from 1 species